UCAAACAGGGAGGGGGGAAAUGAAAUUUUUUGGCGACAAAAAAAAUUUGGUCGCCAAAGUAAAAACGACGUCGUUUUGUACCUGGAAAACAAAAAAAAAAACAAAUUAAAAAAAAGCCCUGAUCUCCUCUUUGUCUCCAACUCUCCCUCUGUGUAUGUUCAUCCGCUCUCUCCCUCUCUCUGUGUUCUCUCUCUCAAUCGGUGCCACUCUCUCGCUCACCGAAGUCCCUCACCACCGUUGCUCACGUCCGUCGCACAUCGCCACCGCCGUAAAUCGCCAUCGCCAACUGUCUUUCUCUCACACAGAUCCUCAGACCACACUCGACCGACGACCACACUGAUCUCUCGUUGAUCCUCAUAUCCUCAGACCACACUCGCCAUCGCCCUCUGUUUCUCUCUCUCUCUCUAUUCGGUCUCUUCUAUGUGUCUCUGUCUUCUUGUCUCCCUCUGUGAUUUGGGUUCAGGUGAGUGUUUGUCGCCUCUAAAUCUGCAGAGGCAGAAUGGUAUCUGCAGAGGCAGCUCUUUGGCCCCUAAAUCUCGCAAGGGCUUUCCGUCUCCCAUCUCUCUGACAAAGAAAAACGAGUCGGUUGUGCAGACCCCCUUCGAUCCUGGUACUCUCUCUCUAUAAUCUAUCUAUCUGUAUAUGUGAUUGAUUAGAUCAUAUCUCUGUGUGAGUUAAAUUACUCUUCCUCUGCCCUUUGUGUGCUGUGUUCAUGUAAUUCAGAUUUAAAAUCAAAUUUGAAGAACUCUAAUGGAAAUUGUGUGUAGUGGGUAUUUUGAUUUGAAGCAAUAGAACUCCAAUUGAGUUACAAAUUGAAAAGAAUUCGAUGGAAAUUUGAUAUUCCCAUAACUAAAUUAACUAGGAUGGGGCUCUUCCAAAAAAAUUAUCAAUAUAGUCUUUAGCAUUUUCAUUUUCUGAGGCAUCCAACCACAAAAAUCCCCUAUUUGGGGAGCUACAGCCUAUAUGGAUCUGUUUAAAUCAAUUUAUUCGAUACUUCUAUGAUGGCCAAUGGUUUCUGAUAUAUUUCUUCUUCUGCUUUUUUUUAAAAAAAAUUUAAUGAGUAUACUUUUGGGUUUUGGUAACUUGACUGUUUGUUUCCAGUUGGCUUUUUUUUUUUUUUUUGGAGUUUGUUUCCAGUUGUCAUACUGAUAUAUUUCCAGUUUGUUUUCAGUUGACUGAUAUAUAUCAAAGUGAGGGUUUCCUGAUAUAUUUCCAAUUUUGCAUAUAAAAAGUGAGGGUUCAAUGUGAACUAUGCAAAGACUUUGAAAUGUAGCAUUUUAUGUGACUGCAGAUUUUAAUGCAACAUGUUUAGAUUUUCUGAUCAACUGCAGUGCCAACGAAAUUUUCUGGUCCAGUGAAAUAGUAGAAUCUGUGAGAGAAGAAUCAUUUGAGUUUUGUGACAAAGAUAAAGAUAGUGAAGAAAGGGAUAGAGUCGAAAUGCUCUUGUGGAGGCUAAUCGGUUCUUUCAGCAGUUUCACGUGUUAAACUUAAAUUCAUAGGAUUGUUAUCAUGCAAUGAUUUUUGAGUGGGUCUACAAACCCAUAACACAACAUCAGAAUUUUGGAAAGUGCGAAGAGCAAUAGUAAAUUGUUGCUUGUUGUUCUUGAUAUGUGGGGGCUUCAACAGGUAAAGGAGAGAUAAGAAAAAUAAAGAGUCAGAAAGAAGAGAAGACAAUUGAAUUGGUGAGUGAGAUUGCUGCUGGUUGAAGCGUGAGGAAGAAGGGGGAGGAGGAAAGAGAAAAGUAAAGAAAAAAAUAGGGGGAGUAUGUGUCCAUGAUAUGUUCAAAGUUGCUGUCAUUAAAGACAAAAGCCCAGCGGACCCUGGUUAGUUCUUCACCAUCAGGACCUGCUUAUACCGUUGAAAAUUCUGCACAUCAAGG